rnacentral:misc_RNA from 1 species
AGAAAAACCAAGGAAGAAGGAACGGUCUGCCCUUUUUCAUGCUAAAUCUCAUAUUGACAAUAUAGAAGUACUUACUAAAUGGAGAUAUUCCAUAUUUAAAUAUUUCCACCAUGUGCUGAUGCAUCCAUCCAUUUCAAUCCUGUCAUGAAAUAUCUUAUGAAUUUAAUUAAUAUUUCUAUUUUCUCUAUAGUGUGAGCCUCUAAUCAGUAAU